GUGUGUGUGUCCUCUCAGCGGUGGUGGGGGGUGUGGCCGUGUGUGUGUCCUCUCAGCGGUGGUGGGGGAUGUGGCCGUGUGUGUGUCCUCUCAGCGGUGGUGGGAGGUGUGGCCGUGUGUGUGUCCUCUCAGCGGUGGUGGGAGGUGUGGCCGUGUGUGUGUCCUCUCAGCAGUGGUGGGGGAUGUGGCCGUGUGUGUGUCCUCUCAGCAGUGGUGGGGGAUGUGGCCGUGUGUGUGUCCUCUCAGCAGUGGUGGGGGAUGUGGCCGUGUGUGCCCUCUCAGCAGUGGUGGGACGUGACGUGCUGUAUGUGUCCUCCUAGGAUCUUGCUGUGUUAUGAUAUCGUAGUUAACCUUACCUCGCGGGACCUGGGCCUUUGCCUUUCUUGAUCUUUGACAUUGAGAAGCAGUUUGUGUUUUCUUGACUAAGGGACGUGUGUCUGGUCUUUGAUGUGCUGCUGUAUCGUUCUCUGCAUUCAGCCCGCUCUUACGUUUGAGUGCCGAGGAGUUUGUGACUGUCCCUUUUGGGAUUCCAGUGCAGGCCUGUGAUGCUCAGAGCCCAAUUUUGGGCCGAUAGUUACGUACGGGCUUGGGGUGUGAUUCUUGUGUGGUAGCUGCAUGUUUAUUUGGGGCGUGACUUACCAGUUGUCUUGGAUUUCAGUGAAAGCGAGCCACGUCUCAUGCUGCUGUUCCUCGCUGGGCUGUGUGUCCUGUGAGGGUGGGUGUACGUGGUGGGGCUUGGGUAUGCGGGUGAAUGGCCUGGGGCCUGAGGCGGGAGAGCAGUAGGCCGUGGACUGAGAUGACCUGCAGCUUCUAGACGUUGACCUGAAAGCCUGAGCCCUGUUUUGCCUCAGUGGGCAGCCUGUUAGAGGGGUGGCUGCGGUUAGAUCAAGGCUGCUUGUUCAGGUCUGUGGCAAGCAGGUGAGUGCAGCGGUUUAAGAACCUGGACUCUGAGGGUGGGCAUCUGGGACGGCCGGUAGGACACUGCUGGGGAUGCCCUCCACGCGUGCUGCCCUGCCUGGGUUUCAGUCCUGGCUUAGCGCUCUCUGUUCCAGCUUCCUGUUACUGUGCCCCCUGGGAGGCAGCAGGUGCUGGCUGAAGUACUUGGGUCCCUGCUACCCAGAGGGAGACUUGAAUUCCAAGCUCCUGGCUUCAGCCUGGCUCAGCCCUGGCUGUUGCUGGCAUUUGGGGAGCGAACUAGUGGAUGGAAGAUCUCUGUGUGCCUUUCAAAUAAAUGAGCAUUUAAAAGAGAGAAUGGACCCAGAGCCACACUGCCUGCAGUGAGGUUGGCCCCGUGACUUAGUCUGUGACUUCUCUCUGCCUCGACCCCACUUCCUGGAGGCGUUGUGAGGACUGAAGUGGGUAAGAGGGAAUUCUGCAAAGCGUCUGCCAUCAAGCCGAUGCUUCGUGAAGGCUGUUCGUGUUGUCCACGCGCGAGAGUGCAUGUGAACGUGAAGGAGCUGUGUGCAGAGAGGAGGCUCCCUCUGGGGAGGCAGCGGCGCAUGGUGGCUGUGCGUCCCGUCUGCCACCUGGUGAAUGGGAGAGGAGGCUUAGCUGUCCCGGCCGUGUCAGAGCGAGCGUUUGUGGUUUGCCAGGAGCUCCCAGGGCAGCCGCCACACUUUCUACAGGGCUAGGAUUGUUCAUUCGGACACAUUUGUCCACGUUCAUACCGAGUCCCCUGGGCCUAGUGAGGCACAGAGCGGGCACUCAGAAAUCCAGUGUUGAACAAAUGCACAAAUGGCUAUUUAUGUUUGGAUGCCAAGAGCAGCAGCUUCUGUAGCCAGCGGCCUUGCAGCUGCCCCUGGUGGGCGCAGUGAGGAGGGUGAGGGUCUCUUGUGGCUGAUGGGAGGGGGAUCUGGCUGUGCAGCCAGCUGGCUUGGGCCUCACCCUGGGGAGGAGGGUGGGCAGCUUCCACAGAUGUGAGCUGGGCUGCUCACCAACCUGGAUCUUUGCUGAAAUUCACCAGCUGCUAGGCCUGGGGUGGAGGGGCCUCCCCUCUGCUGGGCUAGCCUGAUGCUUGGGCUGGGAGACUGUACUGCCCCUGCCUGAGACUGAAGCCAGCCCUGCUCUGGGCAGGAGGUGACUGGGAGUGAGGGCUGCCUGCGCUGGGUCUUGCCCUUCCCUCCUCCUCCUGCCUGGCCAUCAUCUGAAGUCCCUGCACCUGCCUCUUCAGGCCCCUCCCUCUAGGCUGCCUUCCCUCUGAUCUCUGGCAGACUAAGUUUGGUCAGCUUGUCAUCAGCCUCUCUCCAGCUGUUUGCUGCUACCUGUUGGACAGGGCACGGUUGAUGGUGGGACCUCUGUGGGUGUGCUGGACCAAGUGAACCCCCCAGGAGACCACACUGCCCCCUGCCUUGGGAUUCUCAUUUUCUGGGGCUUCUUCCUUGGGAGUUCAGUACUGUGGAGAGGAUGGUGUGAGGCUGGCAGGGGCACUCCUUGAGGGGCAAGAACUCUGUGUGUGUGCACCUGCGCAUGUGCAAGUACACACAUUUUUGCAGAACUGUUUGAAAGUAAGUUGCAAAACGAUUCUGACUCCUUCAGUUUCUACUUCCCAAGACUAAGUGUUCCUUCUCCUGUAAGUGGAGUACAGUUACCAAAUUUAGGAAGUUUACCUGGAUAUAAUGUUGUCAGCCAGAUCCUUGUUUACCAGUUGUCCCACUGACAACGCAGUUUACCCAAUCCAGGCUCCCACCUGUGCUCAUGUAAUUGUUUCACACUUUGUGUUUGUAUUGGUAUUCUACAAAAUGGAGCUGUCUCUUCCUUGUUUUUGUUUCUUAGAAUCAUUAGGGACUCCAGGCUGCUGAAUUUUACUCAGUGUGUCAUAACCAGUUCCUGUCACUGUCGACUUUGAUGCUUCUAUUAAAUUGAUCAGGCAAGCAGAAGUCCCCUCAGUCUGGCUUCUGUUGCCUCCCCACCUGCUCCCAUCCACUUCUCUUCCUUAUUGCAGGGCUCAUCUGGUGCCUUUUCUGCCCCAGGCUGGAAUGGCUUAGUUUUGUUUGCGUGGAGGGCUGGUUCCUUUUCAAGGGGAUAGUAUGUAUGUAUGUAUUUGUCAUUUUUUAAAAAAGGUUUAUUUAUGUAUUUUAAAAAGUUAGUGAGAUACAAGGAGAGACACAGAGAGACAAAGAAUGUUCCAUCUAUUGGUUCAUUCCCCAAAUGGCCACAACAGCCAGGGCUGAGCGAGACUGAAGCCAGGAGCUUCAUCUGGGUCUCCCAUGUGGGUGGCAGGGACCCAGGAACUUAGGCCAUCUUCCACUGUUCCGAGGCACAUUAGCAGGGGGCUCGAUUGGAAGUGGAGCAGUCGGGACUCUGACUGGUGCCCGUAUGGAAUUCCGGCACUGCAGAUAGUGGCUUAACCUCCCGUGCUACAACGUUGGCCCCAAAGGAGAUGGCAUUUAGAAACUAAGGUUGGGGCUGGCACUGUGGUGUAGUGGGUAAAGCCGCCACCUGCAGCGCCAGCAUUCCAUAUGGGUGUCGGUUUGAGUCCUGACUGCUCCACUUCCCAUCCAGCUCUCUGCUGUGAUGGGAAAGCAGUGCAAGAUGGCCCAAGUCAUUGAACCCCUGCACCCAUGUGGGAGACCCAGAAGAAGCUCCUGACUCCAGAUCGGCACAACUCCAGCCGUCGAGGCCAACUGGGGAGUGAACCAACGGAUGGAAGACCUCUCUCUCUGCAACUCUGACUUCCAAAUAAAUAAAUCUUAAAAAAAAACAAAAACAAAAACAAAAAAACUAAGGUCAUGGUGGUCGUGGUGGUAGGUGUGUAUUAGUUGUUGCUAAGAUGUGGCUGCAACUAGAUCCUUUCUGUCCAGCUAGAAGAUAGGUAUGUGUGUGUGUGUGUGUGUGUGCGCACGCACGUGCAUGUGUCAGUAUGCAGUGUGUGCAUCCCAAUCUUUGUGCCUGUGUCCUGAGUGGUGAUUUAACCUACUAUGCCACAACGCCUGUCCCAGUAAUUGAAUAUUUUUUUAAAAAAUUAUUUAUUUAGGCCGGCGCCGUGGCUCAAUAGGCUAAUCCUCCGCCUAGCGGUGCCAGCACACCAGAUUCUAGUCCCGGUCAGGGCGCCGGAUUCUGUCCCGGUUGCCCCUCUUCCAGGCCAGCUCUCUGCUAUGGCCCGGGAGUGCAGUGGAGGAUGGCCCAAGUGCCUGGGCCCUGCACCCCAUGGGAGACCAGGAUAAGCACCUGGCUCCUGGCUUCGGAUCAGCGCAGUGUGCUGGCCGCGGCAGCCAUUGGAGGGUGAACCAACAGCAAAGGAAGACCUUUCUCUCUGUCUCUCUCUCUCUCACUGUCCACUCUGCCUGUAAAAAAAAAAAAAUUUUUUUAUUAUUUAUUUGAAAGAAUGACAGAGAGGGAGAGAUAGAUCUUCUGUAUGCUAUUUUACUCCCAAAUGAAUGCAGCAGCCAGGUUUGGGCCAGGCCAAAGCCGAGAGCUAGGAACUCCAUCUGGGACUCCCACAUAGAGAGCAAGGGCCCAAAUGCUUGGGCCAUCAUUUGCUACCUUCCCAGGCACAUUAACAGGGAGCAGAAGUGAAGCAGUCUGGACUCAAGCUGGUGUUCCAGUAGAGGACACGAUGUGAGAAGCAGCAAUCAGCAGCUUAACCUGUGCCGCCAGGCCGGUCCCAGUUGAAUAUUUUAGGAAAUGACUUGUUUUUUUUUUAUUUCCCACAGCUGUGAGAUGUGUUUUUUUUUUCAUGAAUUUUCGGCAAGUCACUUUUAGUGGGUUUUAGUUUCUUCCUGGAGAUACAAAGAAAUGGAGGGCUUAGCUGGCCAAGGGUCCUUUGAAUUUGGGUUCUGCCAUUUCUGUGUGCUUGUUGGUUUGUUUACUGAGCUCUCAGCUCCGCUGUCUGUCACAUGUGUGUUUCCUGUCCUGGGGCACAGGCUGGUGCUCUGUCUUCUGGGGGCCUGAUUCCAACAGAAGAGGAAAGACGGCUGUGCUGAGGAGCCCAGUGGAGAGCUGCCACCUGGUGCCACAGUCCCCGCCUGACUUGGGGCCCCUCUCCACUGGGCCAAGGCGUUGUAGGGUUCAUGAUUUCUGCUCCACCAGCAGUGUGUAUGGACUCUGAUGGCUUGUGCAACUCUUUGGACCAGGGUGACCACAUUCAGGUCGGUUGGUGGCCUUCCUGUGUGAGCUCACCAGACAGAUUGUGAUCAAAGGAAUGCAGAGGUUUCCAGAAGCCUGGGUAAUUAUUAGUGCCGCCUGCUUUUGUAUGGAGCCUGUGGAUUUUGAACCGUGUGGGUGUAUCACCUCUUAAGGUGCAUUUGUGCAAGUAAGAGCUCAAAAAGGGGUAUUUUAAAAGAAAACCCAUUUCCUACAACUAAAUGUAAAAUAGUAGCUUACAGAAACAUGGAAAGUUUUAGUCUGGGUGUUAUAGGAGUGCUGAUUCGGGUACGUAUGUAGACGUAUGCAGGACGAUCUGCCAGGAUCGGCUCAUGCAGUUACAGCAGCUGAGAAGUUGUUCAACAGGUCCCUUGCAGGCCGGAGACCCUGGGAUGCCAGUAGUGUGACUCAGCUCUGGCGUAGGUCCUGGAGUCCAAAGGCCAGCCAGCCUGGAGUUCUGCCAUGCAAAGUAGGUGUGUUGAGCAAAAGGAGCAUGUCCCAGCCUCCAGAGAGAGAGAGAUUUAUUCUCUCUAGCUCCCUGGUAGACUGUUGGUCCCACUCCAGUAAGGGCACAUCUUGCUGCCUAGGCCACUCAGACUCCCAUUAGUCUCAUUUCGAAGCACCCUUAGAGACAUACCUCGAAUAAUGCUUUAUCCAGGCAAGUUGGCACUUUACAUGGACCAUCGCAGAAGGUAACCCUAGAAAUGAUGAGAACAUCCUCAGAGAAAAGUUCUAAAAUUCCCGCGGAAUGGGGACUGCCUAUUUCUCCAGGGCCAUCGCAGCGUGAUGUGGUGCUUGUCCAAAGUGGCGCCUCCACUGGCCUGUUUUACAGAUGAAGAGGCAGCACGGGGCGGGCCAGCGGCUCCCUCAGGGCCACGAAGCCUGGCCUGUACGUGCUGGCGCGCCCAGCUGCACCAGGUCCUCCUUCUCAUCCUCGGCUCCUUUACCCUCGGCCCCUCCUCUCGCUCUUCCUGCCUUCUCAGCUUGAACCUCCCCACCCUGCUUUUCUUGUUUUCUUCCCAUAGCCUCAGCCGCCAGUACUGCAGCCCUGAGUUCCCCAGGCUCCCCUGCCCGCUGGAGCUGCGUGCAUCCCUGCCCGGCCUGCUCCCGCGGUCUUGGCCUUGGCUCUUGUCUGCCAUGUCCUUGUCCCCCUCACCUGCACCCCACCCUCGCCUGUCUGAGGAUUGCAGGCUCUGCUAAUAAGCGCUCUGUGCACAGUGGCUUAGGUAGUGACCUGAAGUGCAAUUGCAAGGCUGCUUUUCUUAGGUGUGGCUCUUGUGUGUUGAGUAUCCAGGUUUAAAGUCAGCACAUAUGGAAUGUGACUUCCAGGCUGUAUACGUGUGUGAACGCUUGGACAUUCCUGGUGGAGCCCAUGACGAUAACACGUGUGCUUUCCUGAGUGUGCGGCUCCCUGGGGUGAUCCCGGCGCCCACUCAGCUAGCCCCAGGGAGGAGCACUGGGGCCGGGCCUGCCUGCCUGUGGCUGGGCCUGUGGGUCAGUCUCCUUAGCAGCUUCAGAUUUCCAGUCCUGUUUUCCUGCAAGGCUCAUUGUGUUCAGUUCUAAGAUGGCCUUUGGGACUGUGAAGCCCCUCUGUGUUUCAGAUGUUUGUUUCUCCCUCCCUCCCUCUCUCCUUCCCUCCUUCUUUCCUUCCUUCCUUUUUUAAGAUUUAUUUAUUUGAAAGGCAGAGAGUUACAGAGAGGCAGAGGCGGGGGUAGGGGGCAGAGAGAGGGAGGGGUCUUCCUUCUGCUGGUUCACUCCCCAAAUGGCCACAAUGGCUGAAGCUGGGCCAAUCUGAAGCCAGGAGCCUGGAGCCUCCUCUGGGUCUCCCUUGUGGGUGUAGGAGCCCAGGGACCUGGGCCGUUUUCUACUGCUUUCCCAGGCGUGUUAGCAGGGAGCUGGAUAGGAAGGGGAGCAGCUGGUACUAGAACCAGUCCCUAUGGAAUGCUGGCACUGCAGGUGGUGGCUUUACCUACUGUACCACAGCGCUGGCCCCAGUAUUUUUGUGAUUGGCUUAUCUCACUGAGCAUGGUGUCUUUAGGGUUCACACAGACUGGAACAUCCGUCAGAGCUGCUUUUCUUUUUUAAAGAUAUUCCACUCUGUGUACAGAGCGUGUCAUCUUUAUUCCCACAUCCAUGGCCGCCUGGGUUGCUUCCACCUCCUGGCUGUUGUGAAAAAUACUUAGCAAUAAUGUACAAAUACAUCAGUGUACAAAUACCUCUUCCAACCCUGCUGUCAGUUCUUCUGGAGAGAUACCCAGAGGGGGAUAGGUGGAUCGUGUGGUGAUUUUGUUUUUACUUUUCUCCGGAGCCACCGUACUGCUCUCCAUAGUGACAGCACCAUUUUGCAGUCUCACAGAGUACAGGGGUCUCGGUUUCUCCACGUCCUUGCCAACACUGGGAAUUUUCCUGUUUUGACACUGGCCAUCCUGAUGGGCCUGAGGUGGUUUUGACUGGCUCCCUGCUGAUGGAGGCAUAUUUUCUGGUAAUAGGUGGUCUGCUUGUUCCUGCCCUGUUUGUUGAGAGAUCAACAGUGGGACUAUCUCCAUUGCAUUAUCUUUGCAUCUUUGUCAGAAUCCAUUGACCAUAUCCACGUGGGUUAUUUCUGGCAUCUGUGUUCUGUUCCGUUGAUUGACAUCAUCUUUACUGGACUUUCAAUCAAAAAGGUUUCUAAUUUUUUUUUUUUUAAAGUAUUUAUUUGAAAAGCAGAGUUACAGAAGUGGGGGGGGGGGGAGAGAAAGUCUUCCAUCCGCUGGUUCGCUUCCCAGAUGGCUGCAGUGGCCGGAGCUCGGCUGAUCUGAAGCAGGAGCCUGGAGCUUCCUCUGGGUCGCCCAUGCAGGUGCUGGGGAUCUGCCUGCCUGCCUGACAGAUUCUGAGCUUUCUGAGGGCAGGGGCCUGUGUUCUCUGCUCUUGUCAGCCUGGCGCGUGGCCCCUCAGGUCCAAGGCGGGGUUCCCUGAAGGACGAGGUCUAGCUUGUCUUGAGGACAUCCAGUGCGUGUGCCAGCACGUGACAUGGGACCCUACUGACCCUUGUUCCCGCUGAGGUAACUGACUACCCUGUACUGUGUGUGUGUGUGUGUGUGUGUGUGGUGUGGAAGUGCUGGGAGAUUUGACGUCAGGUGCGAGGGAGCUCUUACCCCAUCCUGCCCUCCACCCCCUGCAGUGACAUGUGACCCUACUGACCCUUGUUCCCGCUGAGGUAACUGACUACCCUGUGUGUGUGUGUGUGUGUGUGGUGUGUGGUGUGGAAGUGCUGGGAGAUUUGACGUGAGGUGCGAGGGAGCUCUUACCCCAUCCUGCCCUCUACCCCCUGCAGUGACAUGUGACCCUACUGACCCUUGUUCCCGCUGAGGUAACUGACUACCCUGUUCUGUGUGUGUGUGUGUGUGUGUGUGUGUGUGUGUGGUGUGUGGUGUGGAAGUGCUGGGAGAUUUGACGUGAGGUGCGAGGGAGCUCUUACCCCAUCCUGCCCUCCACCCCCUGCAGUGGGCUCCCUCCAGCAGCUGCUGCUCUUACCUUGAAAGCCCCAUUCCUUUCAUCCAUGUGCUUAACAAACCUUCCUCUCUUCUCUGCUUUCAUUCAUCCCCUCUCGCUUUUCCCCUGGGCCUCGCCUUCUUCUCGGGUACCUUUCACACUGGGCCUUCUUCUCCCAACAUCUGCCUAAGGAGAAGCCACAGGGCAGCUGUGGAUCACUUCAUCUCCUUCAUGGAGACGAUGCCCGUUAUUUAUGAGAAAUCAGUGCUGAAGUUUGGGCUUUGUCACUCUGUUCUGCAGUGUCAGCCUCGUGAGUCCUUGGCCUGCAGGAGAGGGUGGCUGGCACUCUGCCAGGCUUGGCAGCCUCAGCCCUGCCUGUCCAGUGUGGCAGCAGAGCUGGCCACCUGUCUGUGUCUGCCAUGCCUCUGGUGACAGGUGUGUGCGGAGGAGGGACUGAGGGUGGGCCCGUCACUCAGAGCUUGGUUCGGUGGUCACAGGAACCAGGCUGUCACUGCUGCUCAGGGAGUCUUGCCAAACAAGUUGCAGGCUGUUUCAAAACCGCCGCCGCAGUGGUUGCACGUUUGAAAUAUUUAGGUGCUCCCGUCUUGGUUUCCAAAACUCAUGGGCAGGCACUGUGCCUCUUGGCCCUCUGGGUGUUACAUAGCUGCCCCCAUGGAGGCUUUGCCUGGAUUCAGUCCUCUUCUUUUUAAAUAUUUAUUUAUUUAUUUGAAAAGUAGAGUUAUAGACAGAGGAAAAGACAGAGAGAAAGGUCUUCCACCUGCUGGUUCAUUCCCCAGAUGGCUGCAGUGGCCGGAGUUGGACUGAUCUGAAGCCAGAGCCAGGAGCUUCUUCUAGGUUUCCCACGUGGUUGCAGGGGCCCAAGCCCUUAGGCUAUCUUCCACUGCUUUCCCAGGCCAUUAGCAGAGAGCUGGAUCAGAAGAGGAGCAGUCGGGACUCAUACCGGUGCCCAUAUGAGAUGCUUGUGCCACAGGUGGAGUCUUAGCGCACUAUGGCACAAUGCCAGCCCCCCCCCCCCAGUCUUGUUUUCCAUGAGCCCUGCACAUCUCAUUCCCUUGUGAAUUCUGCACCUUCCCAGGAGAAGAUACGAGGGCCAGCAGGUCUCUAAGGUCAGGUGGUGCAGAGCAGAGGAUGCUGGGCCCUGCAGGUAGCAGCAGCCUUAACCGGGCUUUGCUGUAGAGACCCAGAGACGACCAAAUUGUUGAGCAAGGCUGCCUGCCAGCUUCCUGCCUCCCGUCCACCCUUUGUCUGUGUGGGCCCUUCUCAGAGCGUUUGGAAUCACAGUUGCGUAUGUGCAGCUGCAGCAAGUGAGCGCUGUUUGGGUGGUUUUCUCCUGUGGGCCUCAGGGUUGCCGUGGAAGUCAGCAGGGCAGCCACUUCCGUGCAUUACAGAUGAAGGCAUGGAGCCCAAGGCCCAGUAGGUGUCAUGCGGUCGGGGGUAGCGGUGACACUUGCCGUCUGUCUCAUGACAGCCAGAUCCAGAUCUGGGGCCUCUUUCCGACCUGCUCUCCCAUCCUCAUUCUAAGGAAGCUUUAGGCCUAGGGAGGUUGUAGGUAGGCAGACCUUCUGGUGGGAGCGGGUGGCAGUGGCCAGAGGGGCUGCAGGGGCUGCUGAGCCAGGGCCCCACGAGCCUGGGGGUGAGGACGGGGGAAGGCGAGGUGGCCUGUGGCACUUGAGAAUAGGCGCGUGGCAUGUGGCGCGCUCUGCAGACAAGGGGGCAGCUUGUAAUGCAGGCACAGUUUGUUCUGGUGGUCUCCUGUGCAUGGCUUUGACUGCUGGCGAUGUUUUUUCCCCCACUUGCUGGCUCUGCUUUCCCAGGUCUGCCUGUAGGUGUUCUGAGAGGACACUCUCCUUUGUCCCAGCUGCAUCCCUUCCUGCCACCUGCUCUCCACCAGUCCCUCGGGGGAGGGACACUCUCCGCCCUUUUCCAGUGCGUGUGGGGUGUGUGUGUGUAGGGGGUGUCUGCCCCAGGCCUCGCUUGGGAAUCCUCACUGCUGCGGCGGGACUGAGGUCCCAGUGUGUUGGGGCAAGUGGGAGGAGGGGCUGGGUGUUCCUCCUGCGUUUCUUUGUUGGAGAUUCUGUUAUUUCGUUAGUGAUGGACACGUGUGCCGCCACCGCUGCUCUUCCUCUGGCUGGCUGUGGGCAGGUGCUGGGGAAAACAGAUGCCAACAAUUUUGACAGCCUGCUAAACUUCACACAGCGACUGGGGACAGCUCUGUUUACAUAGUUUCCAAUGAGGCCACGGCCUGCUGACAGAGACGUAAUUGAAUCUAGAGGAAGAAUGUGUACUGCAGGGACUCCUGCCUCUCUGCAGGGCUUGGGUUCUCCCAAUGUGGCAUCACGUCCCGCAGUCGCUUUCCCAGUGUGCCCAGGGGUCUCUGAGGGGUGUGUGUCGGAGCAUCUGACCCUUUUAGGGGCUCCAGGAGGAAAAUUACUCUUUUCAAAAUAACCUCAAGGGGCCAGCACUGUGGCGCAGCAGGUUAAUGCCCUGGCCUGAAGUGCCGGCAUCUCAUAUGGGUGCUGGUUCCAGACCCAGCUGCUCCACUUCCCAUCCAGCUCUCUGUUAUGGCCUGAGUAAGCAGUAGAAGGUGGCCCAAGUCCUUGGGCCCCAGCACCCGCGUGGGAGACCUGGAGGAGGCUCCUGGCUCCUGGCUUCGGAAUGGUGCAGCUCUGGCUGUUGCAGCCAAUUGGGGAGUGAGCCAUCUCUCUGCCUCUCCUCUCUGUGUAACUCUGACUUUCAAAUAAAUAAAUAAAUCUUUAAAAAACAAAAGCCAAAAAAAAAAAAAAACAAGAAUAAUCUCAAGAAGUCAUGUACUUUUCUGUCUCAUUCUCCAAUAAGCAUACCAUGGCUUUUCCGGAGAUUGCUUGAUGUGUGAUGACAACAUUGCUCUGAUAGCUAAAGGGAUGUAUGCUUGGGAUUCUCUCUCUCAGGAUUUUCUUUUUCCUUUUUUAAAAUUUAUUUAUUUGAAAGAGUUACACAGAGAGGCAGAGAGAGAGAGAAGAGAAGAGAAGAGAAGAGAAGAGAAGAGAAGAGAAGAGAGGUCUUCCAUCUGCUAUUUAACUCCCCAAUUGGCUGCAACGGCUGGAGCUGCACCAAUCUGAAGCCAGGAGCCAGGAGCUUCCGGGUCUCCCACGUAGGUGCAGGGGCCCAAGGACUUGGACCAUCUUCUACUGCUUUCCCAGGCCAUAGUAGAGAGCUGGAUGGGAAGUGGAGCAGCCGGGACUUGAACCAACACCCAUGUGGGAUGCCGGCAUUGCAGGCUGCAGCUUCACUCGCUAUCCCACAGCACCAGUCCCCUCAGGAUUGUCUUUUAUUACGGUACUAUAUAUAAUGUGCAGUUUACCAGCUGAACUGUUUUAAGCUUGCAUCUCAGUGGCCUUGAGUUCAUGCGGAAUGAACCUGUUUCCAGAACUUUCUUUUCUUGCCAAACAGGAGCUCUGUAUUCAUUAGACCCUGACUCCUCGUUCCCUCCCCCUCAGUCUGCACCUCUCACCCCUGUCCUCUACCAUUGUACUUUCUGUCUCUAGGAGUUGGACUUCUUUUGGAACCUCGUGUAGUGAAAUUGUACAGUAUUUGCUCCUUUCGUGUCUGUUUAUUUUUGUUUAGCAGAGUGCUGUCCAGGUCCACUAGUGCUUAGCAUGGGUCAGAAUUUCCUUUUUGUGUCUGAUCACACUCACUUUUUAUUGUUUAAGAUUUGUUUGAAAGGCGGAGUUAUAAGGAGAGAGGGAGAGACAGAGGGAGAGAGGGAGAAACGGAGGGAGGGAGAGGGAGAGAGAGAGUUCUUCCAUCUGGGUCACUCCCCAAGUGGCCACGAUGGCUAGGGCUGGGCCAGCCUGGAGCCAGGAGCCAGGAGCCAGGAGCCAGGAACUUCUUCCAGGCCUCCCAUGUGAGUGCAGGGGCCCAAGCAUUUGGGUUGUCUAACAGGACCAGGCCGAAGCUGGGAGCCAGGAGCUUCUUCUGGGUCUCCCAUGUGGGUGGCAGGGGCCCUAGCACUUCAGCCAUCUUCUGUUGCUUUUCAUAAGCAGGGAGCUGUGUUGGAAGUGGAGUAGCUGGGAGUUGAACCGACACUCAUGUGGGGUGCUGGCAUCCCAGGUGGUGUCUUAACUCAAUUUGCCACAGUGCUGGCCCUGGUUAUUUCUUGAAGUUUCUGCAGCUAUGCAGAGCUGGCCCCCUCUCCAAGAACAGCAAAGAACAGUAAUCACAGGGUAACCUGGGACAGGGCCUGAGCAAAGCCGGCAGUGGAAAGAAGUGACUUGUCCCGACACUUCGUACAUGGCAGAACUUGAGCUGACUGCUCUUUAAGAGGACUGGGGGCCGGCGUUGCGGCUCACUAGGCUAAUCUUCCGCCUGUGGCGCCGGCACUGCGGGUUCUAUUCCCCGUCGGGGUGCCGGAUUCUGUCCCGGUUGCCCCUCUUCCAGGUCAGCUCUCUGCUGUGGCCAGGGAGUGCAGUGGAGGAUGGCCCAAGUGCUUGGGCCCUGCACCCCAUGGGAGACCAGGAGAAGCACCUGGCUCCUGCCAUUGGAUCGGCGCGGUGCGCCGGCCGCAGCGACCACUGGCGGCGGGGGGGGGGG